rnacentral:lncRNA from 1 species
AUCUUUCACUCUGCCUCACUCACAGAAGGAUUGCCAUCUUUCUAUUGCCUCUAGUCUUCUGCAGACAUCAGAUUGAUAUCCGUUGGGACAAAACUUUGCUUUUUAACUACACUGGUAGGAGUGGAGAUAUUCUGAAGAGGCUCUUGUGCCCCUCCCUUUGGCUAUCAGACCUUCUGAAAUGAUGGAUCCCAAGAAGUUUGAAUUUACCCCGGAAUCUCCUGCUGAGAGAAGGAAAGGCCAAAGUUGGUGUCAGCCAGAAGGGAGCUUGUCUCAUGAGAGAAGACUUCACACAGUCCUGUCAACUUGUCAGAUCACCUUGCAGGAGAGAGGAACCCGGACAGUGAUGGGUUGAAGCUGUGUGGAGGGAUUGCAUCUCAAGUCUCAAAAAGCUCUGCUUAGCUUCUACACUUCUCGCCUUCUAUUCAAAUUUGAAUCUCAAGUCAGACCCCUGAGGAUGGACUGGGGUCAGGUUAGGGGCUACUGGCCCUCUUUGUUCCUUUCUUCAGGGAAUCAACUUCCUUUCUCUGCUUUUUACUAUUAUCUUUUCAAUUGAUCACUUAAGGCAAGAUUGCUCAACCUCUUUUGUUCCGGCGGCAUGUCCUAAGCUUUGACCCUGACAACUCUAGACACAGCUUUCCCUUCUGAGACAAUGAGUGGGGUCUUGUAAACCAUGCUUUUGUAACCCAAUGAGUCUCCCAGAACAGACUUCAGUAAAUGUUUGUUAAGUUGAAUAAAAGGACUGGGGAUAU